rnacentral:lncRNA from 1 species
AUAGCUCCUUGUCACAAGAAAUUCAUCCUGGAUUUGUAUUUUGGUUUAUGCAUUUAAAUGCCACUUGUCUGUCUUUUGAUGAAUGACCUAUCUAUAUUUCAAAAAUGUAGACCUUAUUUUCAAAAGCUAUCCUUAAAUAGUAUUUUGAAAUACAGUGAUAUAUUUUGAGAAAAAAACAAACAAAUAACAGAUUUGCUAACUCUGGAAUUCUUGGCUUAUUUUUCAUUUGUUUCAAUUAUAGAAUCUAAUUGAACAAUAAUUCCUGCACAUUUCAUUAUAAGAAAGACUAUGUAGCAGAUGCCAAGGUUAAUUAUUGGAUGAUUGAGUCCACCAAUGAAUGGGGAAUGUUGUAAUUAGGUACAAAAAAGUGUGAAAUUGCACUUUUUGUGAUAUGCGAAGCCAUAUUUAAAAUGCAUAUGGCUACAAAUAAACAAUGAGGAAUAGAAAGCUUUGCAUUCAGUAUCUUUAGCUGGGCUUGGCAUGCACCAGUUGGUUUAUAGGGAGAAAGCUUAGUUGGCAUGUCUCAAUGCUGGAUUGAGGUUUAUAUUUAGGAGUGGACUUUCAUUCCUGGGAGAUUAGUAUCCAGGCAGUGAACAAAACAUUACAAUAUAAAGCACAACUUUACCAUGGGG